UUCAGGUCAGGAGCUUCUGGAACGCUUUAGUCGAUGAUAAAUCAGUUCAAAGUACCAUGUUCUCGAUCAAGAAAGUACAUUGUGAGGGGCGGGCUGAUACAGGGCAAACCCGGUGUAGGCCGAUCUUUCACGUUUGGAGUGGGAUCCCUCGAAGAACACGAUGAACACGGGGAAGAACGGAGAGAAAUCACAAGGGGAAACACUCAAGAACAAGUCCAAUCACACAUCCACUAGACUAUCAAACACACAAAAUCCACAAGGAGAGGUUCUAAAUCUUUUGAGGAAGCACGUGCAGCUGUGUUCACUAAGGAGAACGGGACAUUGGGAGACAUAUGGGGGGUGCGCAUCAUGCUAACUAGCUUUCUGCACGAUUUUAAGAUUUCCUUUGUCAAGUGUUUGUUUAGAUCAGGCUCAGAUUCAGGAUGAUGUUUCCUUGCAUCAUGUUGGUUUAAAUAGUUAAUUUAACUUGCAUGCUCUGGAUGGAGCAUAUUGUGAAUCAUUCACUGCAUGAUACAUUUGUUGAGUCCCGCCAUCAUUUUAUUCUAUCCUUGUAAUUGAAAUUCUCAUCGGUUCGAACUAAAGAAAAUGAUUUGGGGUGAAGAGUUGAAGGCCUGAAGCCAAAUGUUCCUAAUCAGGAAGAUGACCUCCACAACUCAUGUGAAACAAGGCCAACACUAUGUGCAAGAUUGUAUUGCUUCAUGAAGACACUUUUUAUCAUUCAUUUUUAUUAUUCAAAUCUCUAUGGUCGCCAUAGAUGUUGCCAUUACAUGGAUAUAUCACUAUUUUUCAUGUCUUGUUGUAAACAAAACUCCCUCUGUACUGAUAUAUUUGUGAACAGAGGGAGAAGUAUACAUUAAGCUU